AUUGAACGCUGGCGGCAGGCCUAACACAUGCAAGUCGAGCGGAUGAAGUGAGCUUGCUCCUUGAUUCAGCGGCUUACUGGUGAGUAAUGCCUAGGAAUCUGCCUGGUAGUUGGGUAUAACGUCCGGAAACGGGCGCUAAUACCUCAUACCUCCUGAUGGUGAAAGAGGGGGAUCUUCGGACCUCUCGCUAUCAGAUGAGCCUACGUCGGGUUAACUAGUUAGUCGGGUAAAGGCCUAACAAGGCGACGAUCCGUAACUGGUAUGAGAGGAUGAACAGUCACACUAGAACAGAGAGUCGGUCCCGACUCCUACGGGAGGAAGCAGUGGAGAAUAUUGGGCGAAGGAGGAAAGCCUGAUACAGCAAUACCGAGUGUGUGAAGAAGGUCUUCGGAUUGUAAAGCACUUUAAGUAGGGAGGAAGGGAAGUAAGUUAAGAACUUAAUGUUUUGACGGUACCAACAGAAUAAGCACCGGCUAACUUCGUG
rnacentral:rRNA from 1 species